rnacentral:misc_RNA from 1 species
UAGACAAGUGCCAUUGAGGUAC